rnacentral:lncRNA from 1 species
GUAUAAUAUGACCAGGAUAUCUUAAGCAGCAGCAGCAGCAGCAGGAUGACAAAUGACGCAGAAAUACAUAAUUAAGCAUUGGGGGAAAACAAAGGGGCCGGGGCAGAAGGAAGGAAGGAAUCCGCCACUGACGUCGUUGGCAAAGAAGACGCGGUCUUGGGUGUAGCUCCUGUGGUUGUGGACCCAGGAGUUGGCGACGAAGACGACGGUGCCCUUGCCGGGGACGCCCUCCAGGGUGAGCGUCUUGAGGAACACCUCCUCGGUCUGGUGGUUCCUGACGAGGACGGCGCCGGGGAUCCCCUGCGACUCGUCCCACUCGAAGUUCACCCGGAACACCGUCUCCCCGUCCGUCCUGGACUUGAGCGACACCACCACCUCCUCCAGGUGCGCCGCCUUCCCAACCUUGCCUCGCCCCCCAUUGCCUGCGUUUCGCGUACGUGCGUGCCGUUUCGAAACAAAAAAAACCUUGUUAAAUGAACCGCGUAGAUAGGCGUGGCGUGGGAGGAGGAGCGGGAGGAGCCGAAGAGCAUACGGUGGUCGGCCUUGGUGGCGCUGACGAGCUGGAAGGUGAGGCCGGUGUCCUGGCCGAGGAUCUGGUGGAUGCCGUCGAGGAGCGACGCCUGGAAGUGGCCCAAGUCGAGCGCGUCCUUCUUCACCAGCACCACGGUGCCCCGGAUCCGGCCCUCGUUCCACGCCGCCUUGUUCUUCCCCGUCAGCCGGUCCGCGAACGCGUGAAGCAGCAUCCUGCCUGCUUGCCAAUGCGAUGUCCCAGCAAAAGCAAGCGGGGCUAUGGAAAUGGAACAACACUUUGGGCUGCUGUCUGUCUACUGGACUGCUUCUACUGCUGUUUGUCUGCUGACACGAGCUGGGAAGCCUGGGGCAGUGGGUCCUAAUUAUAGGCCGUCGUGGACUAGCAGCCACGCUCGCGUGCGGCACGCCGGCACGUGGUGGUACCGGGCCUCCACUGUUCACACACGGCACUGCAGCAGGGGACCAGGGGCUCACCGAGACAAGCAUAGCCAAAACAAAAGGUGCUCGGCAACGGGUGGCUCUCCCAAGAGCAACUCUUUUGAUAACUCUUUAUUCAGUUGGAAAAUUUUUUGGAUUUUAGGUACCGUAGCACUUUUCGUUUGUAUUUGUUAAUUAUUGUUAAAUUAUGAACUAAUUAGGCUUUAAAAGAUUCAUCUCGUAAAUUACAGUUAAACUGUGUAAUUAGUUUUUAUUUACGUUUAUAUUUUGUACUCCGCAAGAUUCGAUGUGAUGAAUAAUCUUGAAUUUUUUUAUAACUAAAUAAGGCCUAAAACAAAAGGUGCUGAAUAUGACAGGCCAGCUGCUCGGGCUACACGUGGCACGGCCAAACGAAUUAGUUCUAAAAAUAAAAUUCUGAAAAUAUUAUUUUUAGAUUUUUUUUAAAAGAGCUAGAAAUAAAAUGCAAAAAUUGCAGGGACAGUGAAUGCGAUCGGCAGGCUGGUACGUUCUGUAAACUGAACAAUAUAACAAUUGUUUGCUUAAACUUAUCCGUCGUAUUUUUUAAAGAAAAAAUAGUAGUGUUUUUUCUCACCAUAAAUCACUAUCAGCCAAAUUUUAACGAGCUGAACGGGAAAUCUUGCUAGUCGUUCUAGAGCUUAGCAGCCAAAAGCGUAAAAUAUGAUCAUGUUUAGACAUUCACGUUAUUGAUUCGAACGUUAUUGAUUCGAGAACAUUUACAUUCUCAUAUAUUAUAAAUAUUGUCUCAAGAUUUUGUUUUUAUUUUAUUCCCUUUUUCUUCCGAAAACAUGGUUGCCAAGCUCUGGAGACAGUUUAGGAUGACUUUGGUUGGGUUUUUAGGAGCUGACUUUGCUUUCAAAAAUCCAAAAAGACUAAGGCCCUGUUUAGUUCCCUAUCCAAAAUUUUUUUAUCCAUCCCAUCGAAUCUUUGGACACAUGCAUGGAACAUUAAAUGUACAUAAAAAAUAAACUAAUUACACAGUUUAGUUAAGAAUCACGAGACGAAUCUUUUAAGCCUAGUUACUCCAUGAUUAGCCUUAAGUGCUACAGUAACCCACAUAUGCUAAUGACAGAUUAAUUAUGCUUAAUAAAUUUGUCUUGCAGUUUCCUGACGAGCUAUGUAAUUUGUUUUUUUAUUAGUUUCUAAAAACCUCUCCCGACAUCCUUCCGACAUAUCCGAUGUGACACCCAAAAAAUUUUCGUUCCCAAUCUAAACAGGCCCUAACCAAAAGAGUAGGAACUAGAACCUGCUUUUUCAGAAGUAGCUGUUUUUGGAUACUACAGUUAUGAAAGCACAUGAAUCCUGCUUUUUUGUGCUUUCUGCUCUUGGAAUGGUGAAAAUAGAGAGUUGUGCAGUUGUUUCAAAGAAGAGAGAGACAUGAGGUAGAUUUUAUACUUGUUUCGCACAAAAAACUGCACAACUAUUUUGGAUUUUGGCCUCAUGUCUCCCUCAAGAGCUCCCCCCCCCCCCCCCAAAAAAAACCACAAAUGGAUUCAUGUGCUUUCAUAACUAGUAAUGGUGAUAAUAACAAGAAAAUUGUUGGAAUGGUGAAAAUAGAGAGUUGCCUCAAGAGCUCCCUCCCUCCCCCCCCCCCCCCCCAAAAAAAAAAAACCACAAGUGGCCUUCAUGAAGACAAUAACUUCUGCAUUUUUAGUUAAACUAAACAUAAUUCUGAAAAUUUUGUAUUUUAUUAUUCCAAAAUAGUUGACAUUUUGUAUUUUGCAUUUUUCUAGAAUUAAACACCCCCUGACCGUGUCCGUGUUCCACGUUCGCUUUUUGCCGAAAAUGCACAUAUGGACGGACAGCCAGCCUGGCUGCCUGGCUGGGCCCUGCCGCGGUGCCAGGUGUGAACGGUGCAGGCCGAUACCACCGCGUGCCGUGUGGCUAGUCCAUAACGACCUCUAUCUUCAAACGGAUUGCUCAGGCAAGGCGUUUUCAUGGUAUUAUUAUAAACGGUAAUGCUCUGUGCAAGGCGUUUUCUAGGCCUAUCGCCUAUGGACCAAUCCGUUUAAUAAGCGAUCAUAUAGACCAAAUAAACACUAAUACGAUGUGUCCAAUUGUUUACUGUUUAGCGUGUAUUUUGAUUCACACUGAUGUGUGUUUCACUGUCUCUAUAUAUAUUUGUUUCCACGAUCGGGCCAUUCACCCCAUCUGAAGAGUUACAGUAGUCUGAUAGGCUAAGAAAUGAGCUGACGAACUUUUAUUCUUAACCAAGAAAAAAAACAUACAAAUUCCAAAAAAAAAAGAAAAAAAACAUACAUGACAAUAUUAUUCAGGCGUGGCUCCUGUUCUCAACCCUACAGAUUAUGGUAACAGAUAACAAUCCUCAUCUCCACCCACAACCCUGAAACUGACGAAACCAACGAAGAAACACAUUGCACGGCGCAUCAAAACAUUUACAUACCGUCCUACGAAAGAUACAAUCUGCCCAGGCUCAUAUGGAGAUGCUGUUGGGAAUGCCCAUGGCAGUAAGCCCCUCGCCCUUCUCGCCGGUAACGUCCGACGUGUUGGGGUACAGCAGCAUGUACGGCAUUUCCACCGGCCCCUUUCGGUUCUUCAAGGUCGGGUUGUCGUUCAUCGUCUUGAUCCGGUUCUCAAUCUCCACCAGCCGGCUUCCGAAUCUUUUGAACGCAUCCAACGCCUUGGCGUCUGACGUCCAUCGCUCAGGCUCGUCACGCUGGCCGAGGUACACCUCGUCGGAGGAGUGCUUGGAGAGGAUCUCGAUGAGCGAGAUGCCCAGGAUGGUCUGGAACUGGCUGGUGAUGGUGCGGAUGAACACCUUGUCGGCCUCCUUCUGCCCCGCUUCCAACUUCUUGUACUCAUCGCUGCCCGGCUCCGGCAUCGGCCGCCGGCUCACCGUCGGCCGGUUCGGGAGGUACCCGGCGUAUGGAUACUGCCCAAAGUUGACAGCUGCGUGCAGCGCAGAUGCCACCCAGAUGAUGGUCGUGCACGACCUAGCCAGCUGCUGGACGGUGUCCAUCCUGGGCCACCAGUCUCGAUCCUUAAGGUCGCCGUGCGCCUCCUCACGCACCUCCUUCCACCAUGCCUGCAGCUCCACAUCACGCUGGACCUCACCGUCGUUAGAGUAGUAGACAUCCAAGUACUCCUUGACCCACCGCUCAAUCGCCCACCAGAUCACGAGCCCAUCAACGGCAUAUGGAUAGUCCUUGAUCAGUAGUCGGACACCAUAUGGGCUUGACUGAUCCGGUACAGCCACACCUCUGAAAGCACAACCAGAAGAGUAAACCCGUCAGAAUCAAACAGUUUUUAGAAGCUCUUCUGCAUUACCAUCUCGUCAGCUCUACUGCUCAAUGUAGUAUGCACGUACCUCUUGACGAGAUCUGCGGGGAGAGCCUGCUCGUUGAAAUUCCAGCUCUUGUACACGUCGGAGGACAUCUCCAGCGCGUAUUUUCCAGGGAACACGGUGCGCUCGAAGAUGCCACCGGCGUUGAUGAGCGUCUGGCGUGCCAGGGCGUUGAUGUUCAAUGUGUCACGGUAGUGUGGGCUCAGCAGCUUAUGCACAGGAUGCACCACACUGAGCUGCCGGUUUGUUGCGAUCGCGAACGGCUCGAUCACCGCGUGUGUGUUCAACCUGCAAACACACAUAGACACAAGAUUGAUGUUUCGGUAUCUCCAUACAUAAAAAAAAAAUACCAGAAACAUUUAGCCUUUUUUUUUGCGAGAACAUUUAGCCGUUUUGGUAGCAACAGAACAAACUAAGGAAGAACUCCGUACCAGUGGCUGAUCAGCUGAUGCCAGGCAGAGUCGUUUACGCAGGCGUAAGCCUUGGCAAGUUGCCAGAUGUGACCCUCCACGCCAGUGUGAGCCGGGGUGUACACCUUGCUGACCGCACCGUGCUGCAGACCAUCAGGGUGAGGCAGGCUCAGCUCGAUGGCCAGGGGCUUCAGGGUGCCAUCGUCCUUCAAGAACAGUAGGGUCCUGCUUGCAUAGAUGAAGUUUCCCUCCAACUUGUUGAUCUUGUUGAGGUAAGGCAUGAAACUAUCAUGGUGGUCUAGGAUGAAGAGCCUGUUGUUCUUCAGUGCCUGCACAGGGUUUGUUAUGGCAAUCAAUCGAUGGUUUUAAGCAAUUGUUUGUAUUGAAUCUUUCAGUUAUAUGUGCAUGUGUUCAGUCCAGCAUACAUUCUGCACCGACAGGCCUUCCAGGUUAUGCUGAAUGUGAGCUUCAGUGAUCUUGCUGGUAUGGUCCCCAUAUUGACUUGGGUCCAAGGUACUUUUAGCAGGGAACUCCUGAGAUCAUGAAAAAGAAAAAUUUUAAAGCUCUUUACUCAGUUAUGGGGCAAGUGUAUUUGCCAAUUCAUAUGAUGCAAGAUGCUAACCGUCAGACGUUUGAUGAUUACUGGGUUCACGCCUGCAAGUGUCUCUCUCGCAAACUCUUCAUCAGUCCUCCAGCCAAACUUGAACUCUGGAGCCUUUUUCAAUACAUCUGGUGCAUACCAAGAUUUAGCCUUAGUCAUGGUACAACUUUUUAGUUCAAAAAUCGGAUUAACAUAGAAAAAUUGUUCAGUUACCUGAUUUGAUGAUAUUUGGAAGGGGCAUCUUUAGGGGGUGGUCAUGACUACCAUUUGGCAGAAUACUUCUAAGGAACUCACUGGGGAUUCUCUUCCUGACCUCUGCUACUAGUGGAUUGUUGGGUGCUUCUGGACCCAGUUCAUAGAGUCCGAGGAUAUCUUCGAAUGAAUCAAACUCCUUUGGUGUAUCAUCGACAAAAGUCCCUAAUGUUGGAAGAACAGCCUCAACGAUUGCCUUCAGUGAGUACCCAAGGAAGUCUGACAUCUUGAGAUGCCCAAAGCGUUCAUCACGCGGGACAUAGAUGUUCAGGUUCAACAGGAAAAGCCUGCUCUCUGAAUUUGGGUCUGCAGAAAAAGUUACCAACAAGGAUUUCAGCCAAAAUUUCUGACAUCUUGUAUGGACCAAAAUGUAGCUGACUUGAACUUACCUUUUUCUGUUGGGUGCCGACCAGUUCUGCAGCGACGGGGAUAUGGGUGUUGGCUGCCACCAAGGAUCGGCCGAGCAUUGUCUUCACCCUUGUCUGGGUCACCAAGGUCAUUGUAGUAGUCAUAACGGUAGACGCGAUCAUGCUCCUUGUAUGGUCCAGGAGUAUCAUCACCACGGAGAAUCUUGAGUUCAUCUUGCCGAUAAGGAACCAAAGCCGCAGGCAUUUUGUUUGGCAGAUAGGUCUGCAAAACAGGAAUAGAGUGACUGACCUGUUUUUCUUUUAGAUAAGGGAACAAAGUUCCAGCCUCUACCAUCCACCGAUAGUACACAGCUUAGAGUUGAGAAUACAAAAAGAAGCCACAAGGCUUCCAAAGCACAAGAAAAGAAACAAAAUACAGCAUCUGCCCAGCUAGUGAAGCUUAGGACUAUUAGCUGAUAGGUCUGCUAAUUUUCCGCAAUAUCAUAUGAGAGGAGAGAAAAGGCUAUAUUGACUUGUGUUCUAGUGUUCUCUGUUGGGUGGAUCUAGUACCGAUAAUAUCCAGAGAGGAAAACUACAACAAUAAAAAUAACGUGUUGUAAAAAAACAAUACAAAAACAGUGAGUAAAGUGAUUUUUUUCCACUCAGCAAAUUAUCAAGCCAUGUCAACCAUCAUGAGCCACAUAUCUCUCCUGCAUGUUCGGAAAAAAAGAACAUUCUUCUUCCCAACUAAAUGAUAUGCAGCUCUCCUAUGCGUUUGAGAAGAUAGUGCAACAUGAGGUAAUUCAGACUUCAGGAUGUUCAAUUUGUGAUUGUGUGAUCGUAACCGGACUGAACCUUGUAUUUAUUUCUCCUUCUUUUGACUAUCAAGAGAGAGUUAUACAAGACUUGAGAUAUUGCUGCUGAUAUCUAUCAACCAGUUCUGGAUCAACAAAUGCGCACCAUGGAUUCUUUCAAAUAGCUUUAUUAAGCAGCACUACUUGGAGAUACUUUAGUCAUAUGCUACUAAAGGUAGUAGAAAGUUGCUGAUCAUGAGCAACUUGCUGUUUUAAUCUAAGGCAAUCAGUAGAAAACUCGUUUAGCCUUGUCGAAUAGAUGAGGCAAGCGAAAUGUUUUAUCAUCCACGUGGAAACAAUCAGUGCCUAUUUUUCUAAUGUCUGUGUCAGUGAUAAGACAACGUUAGAUACGAUUUAUGGUGAAGCCAUACAGAAAUCACACAACAAUUUACUGUAACCGUACCUUGUAGCUGCAGUGGCAACAAGCACAGCCGAACACUUUGAUUGCUGCCGGCUAGCCGUAAUGUGAGUGAUGAGUGUGUGGGUGCGGGUGUUGUGUUCGAUAGUACUAGUAGUACUUGUGUACAGAUAGCCCAUGGCAAUGAUUGUCAAUACAGUACGGUCAUAUGUGGACUUGGCCGGAAGACCAAGCUGGCCAAUUUGGCAGCUAUAGUAAACCGGUGUACCCAAUCCAGGUGAACAAUAAAAAAAAUGAGCCAAUAGCAGAGUACUUAUUCUAAUCACGGCUCUUUGCACUUUUCACUAGAUAAUGCGUAGCAUCAAGAUCUAGGUACAGCUAACAUGGUACUGUACUCUACAUAAUUCAUACAAAAGGCUUUUCGCUUUUAAAAUGAAUAGUUGUUCAGCAUCCAAUCCGUGGUCCCUAACCACAUUUCGUUGCAAAUAAUCUUAAGAUGUGUUUAUCAGAAGCAAGUGUCUUUUUUUUGGAAUUUGAUCAAUAAAGUACUUUUUAGUCUUAGCAGCAAAAUGUAACCCUCGAUUUUCAAUGGCUAUAUAAAAUUGCAUCAUAGUCUAUAUGUGAAACUAUCAACAAAUGUUGCACAACCACCACUAAAACCACGCUUCAGUUACAUCACUAGCAUAUUGAUGUGCGCAUAACACAAGAUGUUCCGGCCUUGUUUACUUCCAAAAAAAUUUUGCAAAAUUUUUUACAUUUCCCGUCAUAUCGAAUCUUUAGACGCAUGCAUGGAGUAAUAAAUAUAGACGAAAAUAAAAACUAAUUGCACAGUUUGGUCGAAAUUGACGAGACGAAUCUUUUGAGUCUAGUUAGUCCAUGAUUGGACAAUAUUUAUCAAAUACAAACAAAAAUGCUACAGUGUCCAUUUCCCAAAAUUUUUUGGAACUAAACAAGGCCUUAGUGAUUUUCGCUACACAGGCCGUCACAAUUCUUUCUUUCCUUACGCACGAUCGUGAUGCAGCAGCAGCAGCAGCAACGGGACCAGCGAAGGCAAAAACGAAGGACUCAGAUGCCAUCAUCAGAAUUCAGAAAAAAGGAAUAUAUACUCACGUCGUUGGCGAAGAAGAUGCGUUCCUGGGAGUAGAGCUUGUGCGGGUAGAUCCAUGAGUUGGCGACGAAGACGACGGUGCCCCCCUGCCUGCCGGGGACGCCCUCCAGGGUGAGCGUCUUGAGGAAGAACUCGGCGUGCUGCAGGUUCCUGACGCGGACGGCGCCCGGGAUCCCCUGCGACUCGUCCCAGUCGAAGUUCACCCGGAACACCGUCUCCCCGUCCA